GCAAAUAUAGUUUAAUAAAAACAUUAGAUUGUGAAUCUAAAUAUAGAAGUUUAAAGCUUCUUAUAUGCC
rnacentral:tRNA from 1 species